UACGAAGGGGGCUAGCGUUGCUCGGAAUCACUGGGCGUAAAGGGUGCGUAGGCGGGUCUUUAAGUCAGGGGUGAAAUCCUGGAGCUCAACGUCCAGAACUGCCUUUGAUACUGAAGAUCUUGAGUUCGGGAGAGGUGAGUGGAACUGCGAGUGUAGAGGUGAAAUUCGUAGAUAUCAGGAGGAACACCAGUGGCGAAGGCGGCUUUCUGGACGGUACUGACGGCUGAGGCGCGAAAGCGAGGG
rnacentral:rRNA from 1 species